rnacentral:rRNA from 1 species
UACCGAGGCCUCGAGCGUUAGGCGGAAUCACUGGGCUUAAAGCGUGUGUAGGUGGAUGCCUAAGUACCUUGUGAAAUCCCACAGCUUAACUGUGGAAUUGCUUGGUAUACUGGGUGUCUUGAGCCACUCAGGGGCUACCGGAACAAAUGGUGGAGCGGUGAAAUGCGUAGAUAUCAGGAGGAACACCGGUGGCGAAGGCGGAUCUCUGGGCCGAUACUGACGCUGAGGAGCGAAAGCGUGGGGAGCGAACAGG